GCAAACUUGGUCAUUUAGAGGAAGUAAAAGUCGUAACAAGGUUUCCGUAGGUGAACCUGCGGAAGGAUCAUUAUCGAAUCGAACUUUGGUUGGACUGUUUGCUGGCUCUUCGGGGCAUGUGCACGUCCGACACCAAAUUCUUUUCCACCUGUGCACCUAUUGUAGAUCUGGGCUUUGAGGACUGUUCUCGUGGGGAGCUUGUCUUCUAUCUUUUCCAGUCUACGUUUUUUUCAUAUACUCUAAACAAUGUUGUUACUAGAAUGAAUACAAUAUAAUAAAACAACUUUCAACAACGGAUCUCUUGGCUCUCGCAUCGAUGAAGAACGCAGC
rnacentral:misc_RNA from 1 species